UCCCUCAUCUUCAGCGCUUCUUGUUCACGCCGCCUCUAAACAAAACAACCUCAGAUCAGAUCAUCAUGGAUUCUGAUGAUCACCAACAUCAACAAACACACGAUCGCACAAAGAUUUAUAAUACCUUGCUUCUCUUCGUCUCCGUUGGGGUAGAAACCCUUCAAGGCUUUACCACUCGAUGCAACCAUCCACGGAUCACAGAAUCAGUGCUUUGCUUUACUUAGGAAAUGCAACCUCUCAUUCUCUGUUGAUAGUACCUUGAAUCGAGGCCAAAACAUGGGCAAAAGUACUUAAAAAACAUGGGCAAGGAAUUUGAUGAGGCAAAACAAAAAGGCUAAGAACUAAGAAGAAUCCAAUUUCGUGAAUCAAUAUGACAUUUUUUGCCGAAUCAUUGAAUUUGAAGUUCCAUAUAUUUGACAGGGGCGAAGCCAAAUUGAGAGGUGGGUGUGCAAUUGCACUUUCAGCCCCUCAAAUGAAAUGACCAUAAAAAUGUACAUAUUACUCUAGUGUUGCUGUCAAGAACGACCAUGAGAUUCAUAGUAGAUGUUAUCGAGACAGUACUAUUUACAUAGAUUUGUUUGAGAAUGUAUAUCGAUCAACUAAGUCACUCGCUAUUCUCCUGUACAAGCCGGUGACUCAACGAGAGAAAAAAGGCAAUAUUGAAAGAGGAGAUGCAAAAAUUGAGCUAAUCCAGCUUGAAUUUUCCAAACUGUGUAAUGAAUAAACAAGGCAUAAGAAAAGGUACCUUGAAUCGAGGCCAAAGCAUGGACAAAAGUGCUUAAAAGGACAUUUAGAAGAGAUAGGAAUUUGACUGCGAGGAAAACAAAAAGGCUAGGAAGAAAUUUCGUGACCAAUGUAGGACUGGUCUAAUUUUGGGACAAAGGGGAAUGACUGAGAUUGGCGGCAGGGUGGAGAGGAGAAUGAUCAAAGGUUUAUAGGUGCACUAACAAAAGUAUCGGUAGGCUCAUGGUCAAGAGCAACCAAUGGCGGCUGUUUUACAUUGUGAAUUUGUGAUAUCCAUCGGCUGGAGCUGGGUGAUAUACCAUAAAUAUGGUGUGCAUGGUGUACAUGACAGUGACCAUGAGCAAGUGGACGUACUAAACAAUCUCUUGGUGCGCACCUAUUACGUUUGCAAUCCAUUUACUAAACAAUUUCGGUUUGUUGUGAGUGGAUCUCAGGGAAAAGAAAAGGGUUUUGAUGCCUUUUCUAGUGUAGCUUGGCUUACAAUUCACGUAAUUCACCCCACUACGAAGUUGUUUGCAUUUGGUUUACGAAACAACCACAAGAUGCUGACACCAAUUGGAGAUAUACUCAUCUGACACUGCUACUUGGAAGCUUUCUGGAGAUGUUUUUUCUGCACCUCGUCGUAGCUUCCUCUAUAAAAGUGGAGUAUUUUGGAAAGGUUGGUUGCACUGGAUUGACCCAUCGAUAGAAGGGAAUUCUUUUUAUUUCAAUGUUGAUCAAGAAUUAAGAAUGAAAAUGCCAGACUACCGUUUUGUUCCUAAUGUAGAGGAUAAAAUGAUGGUUAGAUUCUUCGGGGAGUGUAGGGGUCACUUGCAUCUAAUUGUCAGUCCUGCUUCACUUUCUAGUUUUGAAGUUUCGGAAUUGGAGACCGACUACAUGGGAUGGAAUGUAAAAUAUCAUGUUUCUCCCCAAGAAUUGAUAAUUUUGUAUCCACGGCCCCCUGACUUUGAUGUAUUGCUGGUAUAGGAAGUAGAAAGCAAUUCGUCGAAGAUGGUAUUACUAAUCCAAGAUAAAGUUUUUUCUUAUGAUAUACAGGACAAGAGCUUCAAGGAAAUUCAUAACCAGUUUGGUCGAUCCAAUUUUUCUUUUCAAUACAUAAUUGCAGGCUUAGGUGUGUACAAGCACAUCUAAUUAUUUGUUCUGUGUGAAUUUUAUCUUUUGCUUACUAUCUUCAUGAGUGCUAGUUGUUGCAUUAGCAUUUGAAUUCUCUUAUUUGGGGUUUGUAUUACCGUCUGUGUAUAAGUGAUGAUUGUUAGUGCAGUAAUUUUCAACGGAUGCUAUUAUGAAAUCAAAUGUGAACCUUGCAGAAAACCUCUACAAUAGUUUUUCUUCUUCAUGUAGCUAUUCAGUAGUAUCACCUUGUUUCUCUGGUGGGCAUGGUGAUGGUUCUUUGUGUCUAAUCAGCCUCCUUGAUG